rnacentral:rRNA from 1 species
CCUACGGGAGGCUGCAGUGAGGAAUAUUGGUCAAUGGACGAGAGUCUGAACCAGCCAAGUAGCGUGAAGGAUGACUGCCCUAUGGGUUGUAAACUUCUUUUAUAUGGGAAUAAAAUGUUCCACGUGUGGGAUUUUGUAUGUACCAUGUGAAUAAGGAUCGGCUAACUCCGUGCCAGCAGCCGCGGUAAUACGGAGGAUCCGAGCGUUAUCCGGAUUUAUUUGGUUUAAAGGGAGCGUAGGUGGAGUGUUAAGCCAGUUGUGAAAGUUUGCGGCCCAACCGUAAAAUUGCAGUUGAAACUGGCAGCCUUGAGUACAGCAGAGGCGGGCGGAAUGCGUGGUGUAGCGGUGAAAUGCUUAGAUAUCACGAAGAACCCCGAUUGCGAAGGCAGUUCACUGUACUGCAACUGACACUGAGGCUCGAAAGUGCGGGUAUCAAACAGGAUUAGAUACCCGGGUAGUC